UCCUCUAUAGCUCAGUUGGUAGAGCACGGAACUGUUAAUUCUGUUGUCCCUGGUUCGAGUCCAGGUGGAGGAG
rfam:Prochlorococcus phage Syn1, complete genome.